rnacentral:rRNA from 1 species
UAACGCUUGCACCCUUCGUAUUACCGCGGCUGCUGGCACGAAGUUAGCCGGUGCUUAUUCUGUUGGUAACGUCAAAACAGUAAGGUAUUAACUUACUGCCCUUCCUCCCAACUUAAAGUGCUUUACAAUCCGAAGACCUUCUUCACACACGCGGCAUGGCUGGAUCAGGCUUUCGCCCAUUGUCCAAUAUUCCCCACUGCUGCCUCCCGUAGGAGUCUGGACCGUGUCUCAGUUCCAGUGUGACUGAUCAUCCUCUCAGACCAGUUACGGAUCGUCGCCUUGGUAGGCCUUUACCCCACCAACUAGCUAAUCCGACCUAGGCUCAUCUGAUAGCGUGAGGUCCGAAGAUCCCCCACUUUCUCCCUCAGGACGUAUGCGGUAUUAGCGCCCGUUUCCGGACGUUAUCCCCCACUACCAGACAGAUUCCUAGGCAUUACUCACCCGUCCGCCGCUGAAUCCAGGAGCAAGCUCCCUUCAUCCGCUCGACUUGCAUGUGUUAGGCCUGCCGCCAGCGUUCAAUCUGAGCCAGGAUCAAACUCUA